rnacentral:misc_RNA from 1 species
AUUUAAUGGCGACUUUCUAUUUGAAAGAUAAAGGUUCAUCGGAACACAAAUUUGACAAAGAAAGUUUCUUGUUGAACAUGACCACCGUCAAUUUCUAAAGAUGCAGCUACAUGUAUAAAACUAGAGAAACCUCGGGAAGAAAUGGCAACGUCUGUAGAAAAUUUGUCAUCAGAGGAGACUGGUGAUAAUGAGAAACUUCAAGAAAGUUUGGAUUUUGCGGAUAAAGGUUUACCUACUAAAACCAACAAAACAACACAUAUACCUGAAGAAAGUAAUCAGCAGCAAAGUGAGGACUUACAAAUGCCAAAGAAAACGGCCCCAAAAUUUCGGUCAAUAGUGACAGCUAAAGGUAUUAUACUAUACGAGGGAGAUAUUUCUAAAAGUGAUUCUUAUGGUAGCUUCAGUGAACAAAAUACUACAAAAAGUAAUAAUUAUGACUGUAAGGCGCUUGCAAAUGAGAUGUUUUCCAGUAAUGAUAACAAGACCACCUUCGAAAACGUUUGCAAAACUCCUCAAAAGAGUGAAUGUUUUUUAUGCCCAAGGAAUCAAAAGGCAGAAGAAAAACAGGAUGUUACUUUCAAUUUGUCUAUAUCAGAGUUGUUAGGCAAAAGAUUUCGAUGCCGUUCGUGGGAAAAGAGUAUUUCCCAUUACUGUGGUUCAUGUGAUGUACAUUUAUGCGAAAAAUGUAAGGAUAAACAACAGUUGGACAAACAAUCAUUACAUGAAUGGUCCGAAAUAACAACUUACACUCUAACCAUUCAACCGAUUGCAGAAGGGUACACAGGAAACCUAAACUAUCCAGAACUGCAUAUAACAAAUUCAUU